UACGUAGGGUGCAAGCGUUAAUCGGAAUUACUGGGCGUAAAGCGUGCGCAGGCGGUUUUGUAAGUCUGUCGUGAAAGCCCCGGGCUCAACCUGGGAACUGCAUCUGUGACUGCAUCGCUGGAGUGCGGCAGAGGGGGAUGGAAUUCCGCGUGUAGCAGUGAAAUGCGUAGAUAUGCGGAGGAACACCGAUGGCGAAGGCAAUCCCCUGGGCCUGCACUGACGCUCAUGCACGAAAGCGUGGGGAGCAAACAGG
rnacentral:rRNA from 1 species